rnacentral:misc_RNA from 1 species
AAGGCUUAGUUGAGUUGAGUAUAGAUAUUAAACCCAUGAGAGAAAAGUGAAGUUCUGAAAGUUACAUAGCACAGGCUAAUAUGUAGCUGAGGCUAAUAUAUAGCAUAAUGAUCUCUAAAAACUAAUUUGGUUUUAUGUCAGGAAGACUUGACAAUAAAACACUCUUUGCCAUAAGAGGGUUAGAGGAAUAGUACCAUAGGGUGUUUAUUAGCCUAGAAAGGUCUCUGACAGUUUCCACAGAAGUUAUGUGGUCGAAAAGCAUGCCAUCAUGGUUUGCUUAACACCAAGGUUACUUUUGAGCCUCUAUUUUUUUUUUUUUUUUUUU